rnacentral:lncRNA from 1 species
UUGACGUUUAAAUCUUUCGUUUUCGGAAACUUCGUUGUUUCUAAAAUCAUAAACGUGCUAUAAAACCGAGACCCUCAUAACCACUUUUGACACCACCCUCACAACACCUUUCGGCACUCUUGUCGGAACGACCAUUAACAAGUCGCCGGAAGAUCGAGAAACUCACCGGAGUAAACUGCAGUCCCGGAAUUCGAAGUCGACCGGAAGUUGCUUGGAUUUGAGUCGAAGUUCGCAACACGUGUUGGUCGUCUCGUUCGGUAUACGUUCUGUCCAUCCUAUUCGUUCAGUUCUGUUGUAUUAAAAUAUAAACCUUCUUCGACAAACUUCAUAUUCAUUAAUAAAAGAAACAAUAGUCAGAACUGUUUGUUUAUAUAUUUGUUUCAAUCUAGAUUCUCUUCAAUCACGAAAAGUAUGAAAACUGUUAAUCAUUCUUCACAUACAAUAAAAACCUUAAACUUUUGUGUUCUUUGAAAAUUACAACCUUGGAAUUGGGAAUUUGUUUUAGGAAGUUCUGUCGAUUUUAAAUGAACAUCUUGUUACACAAAGAUAUACAAACCACAGGUCAUGGGAUCGAACCCAUGUGACCUGGUUUUAAAAUCUUUUCUUUUUAUUUAUUUUUUUUUUUCUUUCAUAAUAUAAUAAUAAUACAAGGAUUUAAUUACUAAAAACCCAAAUAAAGUAAAUGUUUUAUUUCAAUCUUUUUUUCAGCAUAGUAAGAUAAAGUUAUUUCUAAAUUCCAUCUUUUUAUAAUCUAACCAUAAAUAUAAUUGAUCAACAUUUAUUUCUUUUAAAAGAAAACACUAACCUAAAUAACUAUUAUAAUUCAUUUAUAACAUUUAAACCUUAAAUAUUAAUGUUAGUUAGUCGACUCGUAAACCUUAAAUAUUAAGAAUUUUUAUUAACUAGAUCGCUACGUGUUAUUCUUAACUAUUUAGGAUAAUCGUUCUAGUUCUCUUGCAUUUCUCCAAUCCUUACUCGUGCCUUAUUUCAAGAAAUACGCAACGCAAUCUAAGGUGAGUAUACAUGACCCAUUUUCUAUUUUCCACUUUUGGGUUGAUUUAUCAAGAUACAAGAAAGCAAGCUAGGAUGGCCUAGAAACUCAUUUUAGAAAUAAACUAUUGUUUGAAUUUAUAUUUGGAUGUUUGAAACUUUGUAUUAUCCUUUAGUAUCUAAUAAAAUGAUUUAAUUUAUAUUGU